UACGUAGGGGGCAAGCGUUGUCCGGAUUUAUUGGGCGUAAAGAGCGUGUAGGCGGUUAGGUAGGUCCGUUGUGAAAACUCGAGGCUCAACCUCGAGACGCCGAUGGAAACCAUCUGACUAGAGUCCGGAAGAGGAGAGUGGAAUUCCUGGUGUAGCGGUGAAAUGCGCAGAUAUCAGGAAGAACACCCGUGGCUAAGGCGGCUCUCUAGUACGGUACUGACGCUGAGACGCGAAAGCGUGGGGAGCGAACAGG
rnacentral:rRNA from 1 species